rnacentral:rRNA from 1 species
ACACGACUACAUUAGAUACCCGCGUAGUCCUAGCCGUAAACGAUGCUCACUAGGUGUAGGGAGUGAUAAACUCUCUGUGCUGAAGCGAACGCGCUAAGUGAGCCGCCUGGGGAGUACGUCCGCAAGGAUGAAACUUAAAGGAAUUGGCGGGGAGCACCACAACGGGUGGAGCCUGCGGUUUAAUUGGACUCAACGCCGGAAAUCUCACCGGAUAGGACAGACAAAUGAUAGUCGGGCUGAAGACUCUACUUGAUGAUCUG